rnacentral:lncRNA from 1 species
AUGCAACACUGUUUCCCGUAUUUCCUUCUUUUGACAACCACAGUCAACGUGAUACAGCCUUUUCCGGUUAAUUCGUUGAACAUGGCAGUCGGCAAAAAUAAAGGUCUUUCCAAGGGAGGAAAAAAGGGUGGUAAGAAGAAGGUAGUAGAUCCCUUUUCACGCAAGGACUGGUACGAUGUCAAAGCACCGAAUAUGUUUCAAACCCGUCAAAUCGGUAAAACGCUUGUCAACCGCACCCAGGGACAAAGAAUUGCCUCGGAUUACUUGAAGGGUCGCGUGUUCGAAGUGUCUCUGGCUGAUCUGCAGAAAGACAUCGAUCCUGAGCGUUCGUUUCGUAAGUUCCGUCUUAUUGCUGAAGACGUACAGGACCGCAACGUUCUGUGCAACUUCCAUGGAAUGGAUUUGACUACCGAUAAAUACAGGUAAUUGCAUUUUCCGUGUUAAUGCUCAACAAGCAAGCCAUUCACAUAUCCAUAUAUAUAUGUAUGUAAGUACGUACAUAUGUAUGUAUGUACAUAUACAUACGUAUGUACAUAUCCAUAUAUCCAUAUCUUUUAGCUGAAGAGUUUUUUGUCUAUAACUUAUGUAGAUUGUAGCUUAUUUGACAACUAAAUGUUCUGCGCAUUAAAAUAAAGUAAUGCAUAAUGAAAAGAUUUGGCACACAAUGGCCAAAGGUUCAUACAAGCAGAUAGUUAUAUAUCUACAUAAGAAUAGAUGGGCAUAGGGCUAAACGACACAUAGAUACACAUAUAUCCAAUAAUCUACACAAAUGUACGUUUUCUUUUGGAUAGGUCCAUGGUGAAAAAGUGGCAAACACUUAUUGAGGCCAUAGUUGAGGCCAAAACCGUUGAUGGGUAUCUGUUGCGUGUUUUCUGCAUUGGAUUUACUGCAAAAGACCAACAGUCUCAGCGUAAAACUUGCUAUGCGCAACAGUCUCAGGUCCGUAAGAUUCGCGCACGUAUGACUGACAUCAUAACUAAUGAAGUCAGUGGGGCUGAUCUGAAGCAACUAGUUAACAAAUUAGCUCUGGACUCAAUUGCAAAAGAUAUUGAAAAGAGUUGUCAACGCAUUUAUCCUUUACAUGAUGUUUACAUCCGUAAAGUGAAGGUGUUGAAGAAGCCUCGUUUUGACGUAUCCAAACUUCUGGAGUUGCAUGGUGAUGGUGGCGGAAAAACUACAGAAGCCGUCGUAUCUGCUGAAGGCGCUGUGGUCGACCGUCCCGAAGGUUACGAACCACCCGUACAGGAGGCAGUCUAAGCUGGAUAUGCAUUUUGUUUAUUGUAUUGCAUUCAGAGAGCAUAUAAUAUAUAACUCUACGUUUUGUAGAACAUCAUUUUUGUGUUUUAGCUUCUUGGUUCCAGGGGGUUUUAUUUUUAAUUUUAGGGGAGUCCGGAAUUGGAAUACUGCCGUUAACGUUUUACCAAAUGUAAUACAAAUGGUAUCCUACAUUUAGAGCAUGGUAUGUAAGCUUGAAACAAUAAACCUAAAUGGUGUAAACCAUAUAACCAUAUGUUUUCCACAUCUUAGAUUACAUGAUAACUUGAGGAUAGCUAAAGGUACACAAGCUGUGCAACAGGUAAAUAUCAAAUAUAAGAUUCGGUUUGCAAAAUGAUGUUUAAUUUUUCGUCUCUGUCAGUUUACUGAUGACAAUUCAUGGCUGAUUGCAAAAAAAAAAAACAAAUAGAUUGCUGUAUAAACAUAUGAACUUACUUUUGAACAUCUAAGUUUUCAAUUUUUGCAGACAAUAUGAAGCAGUAAACGACCAUGACACACGGAGGUCGGAUCCAAUUGGACCGCUAAUUGGUAAAUGUAUGAAUAUACUUGCAUGAAUCUUACAAGUUCCACAUGUUUUAGGUGGUUUCCCUUCGAUAGUAGCUAACUUUUAGAUGGUGCUAUCGUAAGAUAUUGCUAAAUCGCUAGAUACUAUCUUGCUUAUUUGUCUGAUAGUUUCAUGUCCAAAUUUACUUAGUCAUAUAUAUUAUUACAACUUUCAAUUUUUAGAACGGGGUUUGUUGGAAUUCGGUGAUUACAAAGUUAAGUAAAACAUCAAUACCUUUUAGCUGUGACUGAAACGCUUAAUGCAUUUCCAAUAUCCACUCAUGAAUUUAUAGCAGAAUUCAGCUACAGGCAUAAGGCUUGGUGAAAGCUAAGAAAAUAACUCAAAAAUGAUGUACUUUUUAUUUGCUACUCUUGAAAAAGAUGAUGAAAAUUGUCACCUUAGUAACUGAUCUGGAAGGAAAUAAAAAAAAUAUUGCUCUACAAUACUUUAACCAAUGUAUUUAAUAUUUUCAAUUAAAUUCCCCCAUUUAGCGCCAAAAACGUGUGGCGUAAAGACUUCUGCAAAUAGUAGAUGUAAAUACAAAAUGAAAGUUCACUCAUUUUCUAAAAAUAAAAUAUGAACAUGUUAACUAUAAAUAUACUACUUUGUUAAUGGGUCGAGCGAAGCUAUAAGGUACUUCUCUUGACAAGGUUUAGGUUGGUUUAAUAUGACGACUAUAUUCCGAAAUUGUUUAAUCAAAAAACAUCAAUGUUUACUUUAUUAGAUUGCAACACAAUACUUUUUUCUUUUCAGAAAGAUGGUGGAGAAUAUUAAAUAUAUGAGUCUACAAUAUGCUAAGGAAGUCUCUCUGCUGAACUUAGAUCUAAUGAAUUUAUUGGAAGUUUAGAGAGGUGUGUAUGCUAUGCAUGUGGUGAGACAACUACCAGUAAUAUUUGAGCAGGCUACAUAGAAACUUAUUUUUUGUUUAGAGAAUUUAACAAAUGAAUAUCGUAAUAUCUUCGUUCUGAUUUUCCGAUACAAAAGAAUUGAUAAUUGAUAGCAUGAUGAUUUGUUUACGGAUUCCCCAUCAUUUAUCUAAUAAAUGAAAAGUUCCACCCACUGAAACUAUAUUAGAAUACAAAAAUUUAAUUUGUUGAUUUGUUUGAUUUCUAAUUCUUAGUUUUCUUCUGGUUUUCAGCUACAUGUAUUAUGCCUGGAAUCAAAGGAUAACGCGAGUCCUAUUUCAGGUGGGUACGUUAGAUGAUAGCCAAAAAAAAAACUCAGAAAUGAUGUUGUUUUUAUUUGCUACUCUUGAAAAAGAUGAUGAAAAUUGUCACCUUAGUAACUGAUCUGGAAGGAAAUAAAAAAAAUAUUGCUAUACAAUACUUUAACCAAUGUAUUUAAUAUUUUCAAUUAAAUUCCCCCAUUUAGCGCCAAAAACGUGUGUCGCAUUUCUGAAGACGUUUAUCAUCUACAUUUAUGUUUUACUUAAGUGAGUAAAAGAUUUUUAUUUUAUACUUGUACAACUGAUAUUUUUAUGAUGAAACAAUUACCCAGCUCGCUUCGAUAUUCCAUGAAGAGAACUGUUCCAAAUCCAACCAAAUUAUACUGCUGAUAUAAGGCUUUAACAAAUUAGUUUUUUGUUCAAUGUUUACUUUAUUAGAUUGCAACACAAUACUUUUUUCUUUUCAGAAAGAUGGUGGAGAAUAUUAAAUAUAUGAGUCUACAAUAUGCUAAGGAAGUCUCUCUGCUGAACUUAGAUCUAAUGAAUUUAUUGGAAGUUUAGAGAGGUGUGGUGCUAUGGUGUGGUGAGACAACUACCAGUAAUAACACUACUCGACAAAAUCCAACCUUUUUUCCGCUUCGAGCCAAACUGACUUUUUGAUAGACUGACUAGGCUUUACAUUUUUGAAAAUUAUUAUUUUUUUUUCAGAAACAGAAAUACUCUGGCAGUUUGUCGCACAACUCCACUCCAACAGGUACCCGAAACAAUUAAAAGAAAGAGUAUUUUGAUGAUAUAUAUAUAGUAUAUAGUAGUAAUGAUAGUAGAUUGGUAAUCUGAUAGAUACGGGCAUUCCCUACGGAAUGGCGUUUUUAGUUUUCUUUUAUCUUCAAAACUGUAGGUUUGGGAGGUUUUCGCUUCAGUGAGCAAUAAAGCAGCCUGGAUGAAAAAUUUGGUGGCUCUAGCUCUUAUAGUCUCUGAGAACUAGCCGACAAACAAGACGGACAGACAGGCAUGGCACUAUUGAUGUUGAUCAAGAAUAUAUAUACUUGAUGGGGUCGGAAACGUUUCCUUCUGUGCGUUACAUACAACCGUUAUUCGCACAAAUACAAUAUACCCUAUUUACUCUUCGAGUACCGGGUAUAAAAACAAAUAUAAGCGGCGGGACGGGGUGGGUUAAAAGUCGGCAGAGGCAGAAGCCAAGUGAAGCAGAAGCAGUGUGAAUGAGAGAACGUGAAAAGAACAACAAAAGCUGCGGGACAGGGUGGGUUUAGCCACUGGAAAAUAAUUUCUCCAUUGUGGCUAUAAUAAUGAUCCAAUCGGAUCCCAAUUUGGUAAUCUGAUAGAUACGGGCAUUCCCUACGGAAUCGCGUUUUUAGUUUUCUUUUAUCUUCAAAACUGUAGGUUUGGGAGGUUUCCGCACUUUUGUGGAGACGGAAGGGGGCGGUGUCAGUGUGAGCAUAUAGCAGUCUGGAUGCAAAAUUUGGUGGCUCUAGCUUUAAUAGUCUAUGAGAACCAGGCGCGCAAAAGACGGACGGACAGACAGAAACGACGCCCAAUUAAUGCACCUCUACAUGAAUGCAAAAUAGAGAUCACAGGAUUUAUUUUCUUUUGGACUUAUCCCGACUUUUUAAAAAAUCGGCAUUUUUACAUUUUAAAGCUUAACAUUUUUCAAACGCUAAACUAGACCACAAUGUGUUUGGACAUACAUUAUAUAUGCAUAUUUCAGCUUUAUAGAAUGGCUUAGUUCAUUACAAUCAGAUCUAAGAUACUCAAGUUGUGUAAAACAGCGCUACCUCUAAAAAAGAGCGUUAAAGAAAAUACUAGAUUUAAACAUUUUUUUAAAAAAGUUCUGACUGAAAAAAAAAUUAUCAUCAAACCAUUUCUAAACCCCAUAACUUUUAGAAAAAGUUGGUCUGGAUCGAAGCGUCAAAAUCGUGUCGAGUAGUGUUUUUGCAAGCAAAAAACUGGGUACGAACAAGUUUAAAUAUAAACCUAUUCUUUAUAACAUUCAGUUUUUACCAAUUGUAUUAACUGUAUCAUAUAUUAACUGUAAAUAAAAAUAAUAUAUAAAAACACCUAUUCAAAACAAAAUAGUUUGGAAGUUUCAAUAUUAUAUUUUUGAAAAUCCCGACGAAUUUUUUUAACACGUGGAGGGACGUGUGACCCGCUUAGUACGUGUCACAGCUUUUAUACCCGGUUCUCAGUCAGUAC